rnacentral:rRNA from 1 species
UAGGGAAUCUUCCACAAUGGACGCAAGUCUGAUGGAGCAACGCCGCGUGAGUGAAGAAGGUUUUCGGACCGUAAAGCUCUGUUGUUGGUGAAGAAGGAUAGAGGUAGUAACUGGCCUUUAUUUGACGGUAAUCAACCAGAAAGUCACGGCUAACUACGUGCCAGCAGCCGCGGUAAUCGUAGGUGGCAAGCGUUGUCCGGAUUUAUUGGGCGUAAAGCGAGCGCAGGCGGAAGAAUAAGUCUGAUGUGAAAGCCCUCGGCUUAACCGAGGAAUUGCAUCGGAAACUGUUUUUCUUGAGUGCAGAAGAGGAGAGUAGAACUCCAUGUGUAGCGGUGGAAUGCGUAGAUAUAUGGAAGAAUACCAGUGGCGAAGGCGGCUCUCUGGUCUGCAACUGACGCUGAGGCUCGAAAGCAUGGGUAGCGAACAGGAUUAGAUACCCCUGGUAGUCCAUGCCGUAAACGAUGAGUGC